UGAUGACAGUCCCUUCCAUUGCCUUGAGGGCUAGCACUAGAAUUUUAGGUCAUUAUAAAUUAAAAUUUGAUUUUCUUCACUCAGAGCAUUUAGAAUAAUAGGAUUAUCUGUUUAUUCUUAGAAAAUUGAGGAAUCAAACGUUU